AUAGGGCUGCUUGCUGGGCAGAUGGUGGGGUGGGAGGGCAGAAGAUGGGCUUGGAGAUAUGAGUGAAGAGCAUGCCAGUCCAUCAAUGUCUCUUCAAGAGGAGCCAUGUCAGGCGAUGAAGCUGAGCACUCAGCGGAAGCUCAGGUUGCUCUGUUAGGAUUGUGGAAGAGGAGCGUCAUGGUGCUGCCUUGCAUGUACCAUGUGUCACGGAGGGGGCGAAGGCAGUGAUGUUGGCCAACCCAGAUGCUCAGAACGACGGUGCAAGAUGUCUGAUGAGCCUCGCUCUUUUUCUUCCUUUUGAGGAUAAUGUAAAAUUGAUGCCACGGUGGUAAAGGCACUGGAUUCCUACAUUGC